AAGUGUGUGCGCCGCGGGCCGCCUUGGUUACCGCGUUCUCCGCCCUUCGCUACGUCAUCGCUCCGAGCCCGCGAUCCGCUGCCCGCUUGGGCGCCGCCCGAGACCGUGGGGCUUCGGUUGCCGCCCCCUCAGGAGCCACCAUGUUGGUGAUACCCCCCGGACUGAGCGAGGAGGAGGAGGCUCUGCAGAAGAAAUUCAACAAACUCAAGAAAAAGAAAAAGGCAUUGCUGGCUCUGAAGAAGCAAAGCAGCAGCAGCACAGCCAGCCAAGGCGGCGUCAAACGCUCACUGUCAGAGCAGCCUGUGGUGGACACAGCCACGGCAACAGAGCAGGCGAAGCAGCUGGUGAAGUCAGGAGCCAUCAGUGCCAUCAAGGCUGAGACCAAGAACUCAGGCUUCAAACGUUCCCGGACCCUAGAGGGGAAGUUAAAGGACCCUGAGAAGGGGCCAGUCCCCACUUUCCAGCCGUUCCAGAGGAGCAUAUCUGCCGAUGAUGACCUGCAGGAGUCGUCUAGACGUCCACAGAGGAAAUCUCUGUAUGAGAGCUUUGUGUCUUCCAGCGAUCGGCUUCGGGAACUGGGGCCAGAUGGAGAAGAGGCGGAGCGCCCGGGGGCUGGUGAUGCCCCCGCUCGAAGCUUCGACUGGGGCUAUGAAGAACGUGGUAGUGCCCGCUCCUCAGGCUCCCCUCCCCGAAGCCGCAGCCGGGACCGCAGCCGCGAGCGGAACCGGGACCGAGACCGGGAACGGGAUCGAGACCGAGAGCGGGACCGCGAGCGAGACAGAGACCGCGAUCGAGACCGGGACCGGGACCGAGACCGGGACCGGGACCGGGACCGGGACCGAGAGGGCCCUUUCCGCAGGUCGGACUCGUUCCCUGAACGCCGGGCCCCUCGGAAGGGGAACACUCUCUAUGUGUAUGGAGAAGACAUGACGCCCACCCUCCUCCGUGGGGCCUUCUCUCCCUUUGGAAACAUCAUUGACCUCUCCAUGGACCCACCCAGAAACUGUGCCUUCGUCACCUAUGAAAAGAUGGAGUCAGCAGAUCAGGCCGUUGCUGAGCUCAACGGGACCCAAGUGGAGUCCGUACAGCUCAAAGUCAGCAUUGCCCGAAAACAGCCCAUGCUGGACGCUGCCACUGGCAAGUCUGUCUGGGGCUCCCUGGCUGUCCAGAAUAGCCCUAAGGGUUGCCACCGGGACAAGAGGACCCAGAUUGUCUACAGUGAUGACGUCUAUAAGGAAAACCUUGUGGACGGCUUCUAGGGAGUGGAACUGGAUUCCGUGUGCCUCAUCUGGCCCAGCGCUGGUCUCAGUAAAACACUGAGGAGAGCCUUCUUGGUGUUAGUCCCUGCCCUCAACUUGUGGUCUGUGGAAAGGGAAGAAAUCAUCACCUCCACCUGGACUUCCGAGCCAUCCUUGACCCCAGAGGCCUAGCAGCAACUGAGAUCCACAUCUGUCAACUUUUUGAGUUAAUCGUCACCCCAGUGACUUCCCUUUGACAACAAAGUGACCAUCUCAGUUCCAAAGGGUUCCCACCAAAAACCCCCAUUUUCCAAUGACCCUGCUGCCCAUCCAUGGAUUAAAAAGUAGUCCUCCUUGUCUCACUGCCCUCCCCACAACACUCCUGAAACUUCGGACCUCUCUGACCCCAAAGCGAACCUCCCACCAUUCCCUUCCCUGACUUCUGACCUUCGUAGUUGAUUUGGUUGAGCUGCUCUGUGACCCAGUCUGCAUCGCUGCUCUUUGGGUCAGACACUCUGAUCAAAACUUUGGGGUCUGUGGCAUAUGUCACUAGACCAUAUUUUGGCCUCACCCCAUAACUUGCCACCUGUGGGUGAGGGGAGCAAGGGGUCAUGGCACUGAAAGUAGAAUAUAUGGCUGGGAGAAUUCAGCAGCUUUACUGGGACAGACAGUGAAGGACAUCGUAAGAGACUCAUCACCCUGGGGUUCAUGGAGGAGUCUGGGUUAAAGAUCAAGAAACUGCUUCAAGUAAAAGGAAAGGAAGACAGAAUAGGACCUGGAGAUUUUCUGGGACCCUGUGGCUCAGAGGGGCUGGGAGCAUCAGGGAGCUAGUCCUGGCAGGGCAGUGAGGUCCAUUCAGGGUCCCCACAUUCAGGGGGAGGGGGCCCCACCUUCUCAAUGAAGUUGCUGAGACACCUCUUGGCCCCUGUGAAGUUGUGGGACCCAAUGCUGUCUGAUCCAUCCAGCACCAGGUAGAUGUUCAUGGAGCCUGAGGGGUCCAGGAUAAUCUUCCUCUUCUGUUGUUCCCCUGGGUGCCAAGAGAGACACUCAGGCUCCAGGAGGCAUGGUUCUCCUGCCCCUUCUCCAUCCUCCUCCCACCCCCAAUUCCCUGCCCUGCCUCCCCUCUCUAUCUUCAAACCUGGGCUGUGCCCAUCCUCAGCAUCAACUCCUUCUAUGGUCUCUGUCAGGGAAGACAGGAAGGCUUCGGCCACCUCUGCAGGGGUAUCGUACAUAAAGGAGUCUGGGAGAAGUCAGAAAGCAGGUCAAAUGUCUGGGAGGGUCAGGGACAUAGUGACGAGAGAUGGUGGGUUUCCAGGGUGGGAAGGGCUCAGAAGUUCUUCGGGGAGGUUUAGAUGUGAGGAAGGAGCUGGGUUGCAGUAGGGGGAGAAGGCAGUGCUCUGGUGUGGGAAUGUGAGGUUGGGAGAGCAGGAUCUGACGUGAGAGUACGGAUCAAGGGUCACCUUGGCAAGAAGGCUCCGUUCCACUCCAAGAGCCACCUUCCUGACAUGUUCGCUGCUUGGAGCCACGUAGGGUGAGCCCCCGGCUGCAGUAGUAGGUGACAGUGUCUUCAAGGCGGUACUGGCUGCCCACCUUCCUUGUGCCAAUGGGGAUGCCCGGGUUCAGGCAGUACCCCGCUGCAGAAGCAUGAGACAUGGAGGUAAGGGCCAAAGCCUGAGGGCAAGGUAGAGCACAAGAGCUACGGUGCCAGUUCCUCAGGCUGAGGGUGGUCGGGAAGAAGGUCGUGUCGUGGGAAAGGAGGGCGCUUCUCACCUCCAUCGUCGCAGAUGGCCGUUUCCCCGUCCCACCGACCCGUCGCUUGGCAGGUGCGAUUGGCAGAGCCCCGGAGAUUGUAACCAUCAUAGCAGUGGAAAGAGAUCUCGUCACUCAAAUUGUAGUAGGGGGCCCGGGGCCAGUACUCCCCGUUCUCAAAGUCCUGCGGUCUGGGACAGCGAAUUGCUUUGGGGGAGGAGAACAAGUAGACCUUACUGAGACGGAAGGACUGCCCUUUAGGAUAUCCCUCCUAGUCUCAGGGACCCUGUCACUGAGAAACAGCGCCUUCUCGGUCCUACAGGAUCAGCUGCUACCCUUGACCCCUGGAGGGUACCUCAACCCCUGGGGAAUCCUGCCACUCCCCCCUCCCCAUUUCUGAGUGUUCUUUGAACUGCCAGGGCUGCCUGGCACGGGGUAAAUGCUUAGUAAAGGUUAGCUCUCCUUCAUUCUCCCUCCAUCCCACCUCCAGCCCUUGCUCAGCUCCUACCCUUGCUCAGCCCAACUUGUCAGCCUGCCUGGUCUCCACACAAGUCUAAUCUUAUCCAGGUCUGGACCUUGGCCACCACCUGCUCCGUCCCUCCGCUGGCCCAGGCCCAUCCUCACUGCCCUCCAACCUUUG